rnacentral:tRNA from 1 species
GGAGCAGUCAUGGCUGAAUUGAUACGAUGUUUGCUUUGUAAGUGAAUGGUCUUGGGUUCGAUUUCCAUCUGCUCCC